GUUCGCAUAUCCAGUGGCUCAAGGAUGGUGACAGGAAUACCACUUUUUUCACUCCACUACUGCUAGGUGUUGGCACUUUAAUCGCAUCACUCGUCUCCAUGAUGAAUCUGGAUCUUGGAUCACCGACAUGGAAAGAGGCUUCUGCUAUUCUCCAAAUCCCAGUCUGUUUCUCCAAGGAAGGACGGUUGGCUUUGGUCGCCUGCUAAAUCUGCUAUGUGUCGGUUAGUUUCUCCACUUCGUUUGGAUACUCGGGAGUUUAGUGGUGCUCAUUUCAAAUAUUGGAUUAAUUUUCUGAUGGUUAAAUUCAAAGAUGUCUGAUAAAGUUGAUUUUGAUACUAUUUGGACUUCUCUUC